rnacentral:rRNA from 1 species
UAAUACGGAGGAUCCAAGCGUUAUCCGGAUUCAUUGGGUUUAAAGGGUGCGUAGGCGGAAUAAUAAGUCAGUGGUGAAAUCCUUCAGCUUAACUGGAGAACUGCCAUUGAUACUGUUAAUCUUGAGUACAUUUGAUGUGGGCGGAAUGUGUCAUGUAGCGGUGAAAUGCUUAGAUAUGACACAGAACACCGAUUGCGAAGGCAGCUCACAAAACUGUAACUGACGCUGAGGCACGAAAGCGUGGGUAUCAAACAGGAUUAGAUACCCUGGUAGUCCACGCUGUAAACUAUGAUUACUCGAUGUUUGCGAUACACAGUAAGCGUCUAAGCGAAAGCGAUAAGUAAUCCACCUGGGGAGUACGCUCGCAAGAGUG